CAGCCGCCGCGGGAAUACGGAGGGUGCAAGCGUUAAUCGGGAUUACUGGGCGUAAAGCGCACGCAGGCGGUUUGUUAAGUCAGAUGUGAAAUCCCCGAGCUUAACUUGGGAACUGCAUUUGAAACUGGCAAGCUAGAGUCUUGUAGAGGGGGGUAGAAUUCCAGGUGUAGCGGUGAAAUGCGUAGAGAUCUGGAGGAAUACCGGUGGCGAAGGCGGCCCCCUGGACAAAGACUGACGCUCAGGUGCGAAAGCGUGGGGAGCAAACAGGAUUAGAUACCCCAGUAGUCCCUGUCUCUUAUAA
rnacentral:rRNA from 1 species